UUUUUUUUUUGUCUCAUCAAGUUAAAACAAUUUUAUACUCCACCCUUCCCUAUCCCAUUUCAUCUCGGAAUACUACACAUCUUAGGAGAUUAUUCACGUAUGGUGAUUGCUUUGUCGGAUCUAUCUUUUGUUGAAACUGAGUAUUUUCAUGAGGGAAUGAAAAUGCUAAACUGGGAUAGUAAAUAAAUUGAGUGAGUCGUGUUCCACCUUUGUUUUUAUCCUGUCCUGGAUGCAUGGAUAGAAUGACCCUGAUUCAUGAAGGUUAAACUUGCCUUUCUUUGAAGCUGAUAGAUAUGGGGAAGAAAGCUCCUAGAUCUCAUUUGAGGAUCUGGAACCUUUGUGCCUGUAAAUGAAAAGAAAAUACCAAAAAGCAGCAGAUAAAUCAAUUGACUCUUUUUCACAGACCUUUUCUGGUUAUUGGAAAUGACCUUAUUGAAUAAGGCAUGGCAUUAUUUCCUCACUCCCUGAUUUAUUUUUUCUUCUUCUAUAUGGAUCCCAGAUAUCUACAGGGGUUUUUAGAAUCCAUAAAAGAUGAUGAGAGAGGACAAGACAGGACCUUAGGAAAAAGAUUCAAUCUUAUCAAAAGUUUGGAAAGCAUAGGCAGUCAGUUAUUCAUGAAAAAGAAAAGAAACGUAACCCUUGGUAAGUCUUAUGAUUGAUAUUAAAGUUAAUGCAUUCUUCAUUAAAAGCAGCAAUUGAGGUAACUUAUACCCGUUUGUUUCGUCAAAAUGAAGUAGAGUAAAACUUAUUUAAAUAAAUAUACUCGAUUCUGGGUGUGGAUUUAAUGUAAAUCAAUACUUUAAUCCUCAAUCUGAAACGGAACAGCG
rnacentral:lncRNA from 1 species